GCCGGCCAAUCAGAGCCUUCCUCGAGGAGCAGGUCUUUGUGACACAAGGUCUGACGUCUCUGGAGGGUAUAAAAGAACCCUCGGGCUCAGGCGCCCCUCCAGGAGCCACCGGCAAGGGGGCAACGUCUUUAGAGCCUCGCCGGAACGAAGUUGAGAAUAUAGACAUCCUGCCAAAAUGAUUUCUUCAAAGCCCAGACUUGUCGUACCUUAUGGCCUCAAGACUCUGCUGGAGGGAGUUAGCAGAGCUGUUCUCAAAAUAAAUCCACCAAACAUCACUCAAUUUGCAGCAAUUUAUUUUAAAGAACUUAUUAUGUUUAGAGAAGGAAAUAAUUGUCUGGAUAUAAAAGAUCUGGUUAAACAAUUUCAUCAGAUUAAAAUAGAGAAGUGGACAGAAGGAACGGCACAAGAGAAGAAACCAGAAUGUGUAAAAGGACCAGAAAAGAUACCUGUAGUUCCUCAAGAACCUGAACGGAUGGAAAAAUCUACGGACACAGAGGAAGACAAUAUAAUGGCACCACUCUUCAGCCACAAAACCACUCAGUUCCCAUCUGUUUAUCCUGCAAACAUAGAGUAUGAGGAGCCGGCCGAAGCGGUUAGUGGCUUGAAAUCAGCCACGCCCAAGACCGCCAGCCCGUCCUCAUCGCCGCCUCCAGCAGCUGUCUCUCCAGAGCUUGCCUAUGUUCCAGCUGACCCAGCUCAGUUUGCAGCUCAGAUGUUAGGUAACGUUUCAUCUAUUCAUUCUAAUCAAUCUGACGUUUUAAUGGUGGAUGUAGCAACAAGUAUGCCUGCCAUGUCCAACGAGGUGCUGUACUCAGAGGCUGCUGAAGAUGGCGUGGUGGCCCCUCCUGCGCUGCACGCUGCAGAGGUGGCAUCAGAGCAGGGUCUGAGGCAAACAUCUAUCCAUGUAGAUUCAGGUUCUAAAGGCUUUGAGGCUGAACCAUCAACGUUCCCCUUGCAGGAUGAACAAGAACCUCCUGCUAAUGCUCCAGUUCCCGAGGUCCCUUUGCAGUCUGACACGCAGGUCACAUCAGCCGUAUCAUCUGUCUAUACAGAGGAGCCUGUGGUUGGAGGAGCUGAGUAUGUGGAGCAAGUGUCAGAACCAGUAGCCGUCCCUCGCAUAUCAUCAGUCUAUAAUGAUGAGCCCGUGGUUGAAGGAGUCACUUACGUUGAGCAAAUGCCAGAACAAGUAGCUGCCCCUCUUACUGAUUACUUUGCUCGUCUUAAAGGAAAUGAGCAGUCACCACAAGUUAGUCCCAGACCCGUAGUAGACCAGAAAGCCUCAGUCCUGUCUCAGAAAUCUGAGGGUUCUGCAAAAGGUUCACAAGAGAAUGUGACAUAUGAUUCCUCAGUGCAUGUGGAGGCAGAAGCGACAAUUAUACUAUCUGGCACCUCUCUGAAAGGUCAGCCUGAACAAAUCCUGGAAGUAGACAGCUCUGCCAAAACAGUAAGCUCUGAAAAGUCUCUGCAGCUAGAAGUGGAGAUCAUUGCACAGGUCCCUAGCAAAACUGGGCAGGAGUCAAGGGCAAGCUCUGCGACUCAGGAGAUGGAGGCCUACUCUGUGUCCUCGGGGCUGGCUGCACAGGCAGCACCCUCGGGCACUUCUGUAAAGGCAGCCCGUGGCUCCUUCCCUCCUGUUCCAGAAGGUCUUGCGGAACCGGAAGGGGAAGCAGCACCUGACGAGGUUUGAUGGACUCAGAAACUCUUCCAACUUGGACUCUUACUAGAACCAAAAUGAAGUACUAUUCAAGCAGCAAUAGCAGCAAGCGAAGCAGGACAACCACCACCAUAUUCUAACAUGUGGACCCUUUAUUGUCUAACUGAUAUGAAUCAACAAAGUC